GGGGAUAAUAUAACUGUUUUAAGGUUGCUUGUUUUGUAGGUCGCCGGCGAGAUCCAGUCAAUGACAACAGAGAAUACGAGUCAUUGGAGGGUCGGUCUAGCCCAAACGUCUAUGAAGAUCUCCAUGGCACAACAUCUGGUGAGAGAGAAAUAUACAUCACCACCGCAAUUGCAGAGGGGGAUUCUGGUUCCGGAAAUUAGUCGAUCUGGUUCACAAGAAAUCGUAAUAAUGAACAACUCGAGGAAGCUUUAAUUAAUACGUCAGUUUUUCAAAAUAUUUCUAUUGGACUUAGCCUAUCAAACGUAGAUCGGAACCGUGAUGAAUAAUAAUCAAUAUACAUGUUAGUCCCAGAGCUUUGUGGUUGUUGACAAUGACCAUGUCAGCAGCCCUCACCUCUGCGAUUGUGACAGCCGCGGU